UGAUUUCCUAUAGACCUAACCUUUGAAUUGCAGAUCUAUCACUAAUAAUUUUCAGUGCAUGAGUAAAAGAAAUAUUUUCUUUUGUUUUUCUUUAAAUUCUCAAGUCACUCUUCAUGAGUGAGAGAAGAUGAUGCAUUUACUCAGGGUAGGAACUGGAAGCAGGAGCUUAAGCAGAAGCGUUGUUGCUGCUUACCAGUUUUCUUCCUGUGGGUAGUUCAGAAUCCUUCCUAAUACACACCAGGAUCCCCUAAACAGGUGAGGUACCACACGCAGUGGGCUGGUACCUUUCGUGAGAUCGUUCUGUAUAAUCCAUGAGACUUCCAGAUAUCUAAUUCAGAACUCUAAGGUAGCAUGGCAGGUGCCUUUACAUGGCAAGACAUUUCCCUGCUCCAUUUGCAUUAACAAUAUUGAAUUAACUAAGUGAACAUAAGGUAAGUAUCACAUCAUCCUGGUAAUAUAUGCACAGUUUUAUCGUUUGUUUUCAGGACUAUUACCAUCAGGUGGAAAUGGGUGUCAAUUCCUUAAAACUGUGUGAUGCAUGUUCAAUUCAUAUACUUCACACGGUCAAUAUAUUCUAAUUUAAACUUUUUGGAAACAAUUUAACUUAUUUGAAAUUUUUUAUUACAUAUGUUUUACUUUCUAAGGCGCGCAGGUUGUCACAUAUUACCAUGAGUAUCCCCCCAAAAAAAGAAACAUACAUAGAAAUAUUAUAACUGUUUGUAUUUUAAUAACAGCAGGAAAAACUUCUUACAAUAUUAUAUAAGGGUUUGAAAUUGUGACUUGAAAAACAGUAAUUUUUUGAAGUCUACAGAGUUCCGUACAUAACAAAGCAUGAUUUCAGUUGCCAAACUCCUGAAAUAGUGGGAAGAACUAGCAUUGUACGUAGGGAAUUUUGCUGUCACAAGGGACUAUGUGAAAGAGUCUGUUUACUCCAAUAGUCUGUGGAGGAUAUUGACUAAUCUUUUUCUUUAAGAUGAUUCUUUGGGUUUCCUUCAGAAAACACAUAGACUUAUUGCUAUAAGGAGCCAAGGAUGGUAUGUUUUGACUUAUUAGUGGCUUGCAUUGGAAAACUGAGUACCUGUCACUUUUCCAUCUCCAGCUUUCAUUGCAAGGCAUGACUAUAUAUUUUCACUCAAAUCACCUCUUUUUUUCACAUUAAUUUAUUUAUUUAUUCACAACUUUCUAGAUCCAAAAUUUGCACUAACACCUUCAUACUGAAAUUGCC
ensembl:lncRNA